AAAAGGGGGAUCCCUGAAGCACUUGGGAAGGAGGCCCCACCCAGGCACCAUUAGACCUCGAGCCUUCCCCUACCAAGAAAGGCUGUUCCAUGGUCUCUAGACAAGAAACUGAGGCCAAAGAACGGAAAUGACCUGCCCGAGGUCACACAGCGGGUCAGUGACAGAGCCAGGCUGGCACUGAAACGCGCUGGUUGGAGCCCAUGCCCAGGGCUGAUUCUCUGGGAAGGCAGCUGAGGCAGCAGGCUUCAUCCACUAGAGCCCUGUGCCAUGGGCCAGCCCCAUUCACUGCCAGCAGCAUUUCUUGCAGAUGCAGAAGCAGCAGGUGAGAAGCAGGAGCCCAGCAACCACAGCAAUGGCGAUCAGUGCCCAGGGUGGUACUGCCCACACAGAGAAGAUCCCAGGGUCAGCAGUGCCAUGCCUUGCAGCCCCUGACCCCGUAGCAUUGGGAAAAAUGGGUGAGGAAUAUGACUGCCAUCCCACAAUGCCCACACCCCACAUUUUAAAAGCCACACACCCAUGAGUGAUUUGUAUGUAAGGUGCAUAUACUUUGCAUGCCUUUUCAAUCAUGCCUUGCUUUUUUUUUUUUUUUUUUUUUUUUUGCCUACUGUCCUUGUUGGUAUAGCCUGCUAGCUGAGAGGUAGCAACCAGGUGGAUGCAUGGAAGAAUAUCAGUUUAGCUCUAUUGAGUUUUACUAGUGUGAUCUAUGGAGGACUGGCUCACUCUAGAGAGGAUGGGAUGAUGCUUAUCAGUCCUUUGGCCUCUGCCCCUUGUGCCAAGUCUUGAGAGGGCUGAUGCAUAGCCAGAUAGGCAGGCCAAGCUCCUUGAGGCUAGACCUAGACUGCUGCUGGGCUUUGCAAAACCCAACUGGGGAUGGGUCCUGGGCUGCUCUCUGUGGUUCUGAAGCACCAUCUCCCGCCAGUGUGGCUGCUCCCCCUUAAUCUGCAUCUCUGGUGUCUCCUAUACAGCCUCUGCCAGAAAUUCAAAAGCAGAGAGGGCUUUUAUUUUCUAUCUUCCAAAAUAAAUUUCAAAGUAUUAUUGGCAAACUUGAAUAGUGACUUCUGUUUCAUAAUUUUUCAUCGCCUUUUGGUUUCAUCUUUAGACAGUUUUUUAAGUUAUAAGAACUUUUCUUCCCCUGAGAAGUUGACGCACAUAAACCCCCUUGUUUGCCACAUUAGUGGCAGAUCCUACUUCCCCCUCCCCGAUUCCUGCAGGGGCUCUCCAAAAACCCAGCCUGAAAUCUAAGCAUUAGGAAAGAGCCCAGCCAAUCACAUCCCAGUGGUAUCCCCACCCUUCUUCACCUCUCCCAGACUCUAGCCUUGCCCCACCCUCUCAGCC
rnacentral:lncRNA from 10 species